rnacentral:rRNA from 1 species
UACGGAUGGUGCAAGCGUUAAUCGGAAUUACUGGGCGUAAAGCGCACGCAGGCGGUCUGUCAAGUCGGAUGUGAAAUCCCCGGGCUCAACCUGGGAACUGCAUUCGAAACUGGCAGGCUUGAGUCUCGUAGAGGGGGGUAGAAUUCCAGGUGUAGCGGUGAAAUGCGGAGAGAUCUGGAGGAAUACCGGUGGCGAAGGCGGCCCCAUGGACGAAGACGGACGCGCAGGUGCGCAAGCGUGGGGAGCACACAGGAGGCGAUAACACCGGAGUCC